UGGGGAAUUUUGGACAAUGGGCGAAAGCCUGAUCCAGCAAUGCCGCGUGUGUGAAGAAGGCCUUCGGGUUGUAAAGCACUUUUGUCCGGAAAGAAAUCCUUGGCUCUAAUACAGUCGGGGGAUGACGGUACCGGAAGAAUAAGCACCGGCUAACUACGUGCCAGCAGCCGCGGUAAUACGUAGGGUGCAAGCGUUAAUCGGAAUUACUGGGCGUAAAGCGUGCGCAGGCGGUUUGCUAAGACCGAUGUGAAAUCCCCGGGCUCAACCUGGGAACUGCAUUGGUGACUGGCAGGCUAGAGUAUGGCAGAGGGGGGUAGAAUUCCACGUGUAGCAGUGAAAUGCGUAGAGAUGUGGAGGAAUACCGAUGGCGAAAGGCAGCCCCCUGGGGCCAAUACUGACGCUCAUGCACGAAAGCGUGGGGGAGCAAACAGGAUUAGAUACCCUGGUAGUCCACGCCCUAAAACGAUGUCAACUAGUUGUUGGGGAUUCAUUUCCUUAGUAACGUAGCUAACGCGUGAAGUUGACCGCCUGGGGAGUACGGUCGCAAGAUUAAAACUUAAAGGAAUUGACGGGGUCAUAGCUGUUUCCU
rnacentral:rRNA from 1 species